GUGAAGUCGGGGCCAGGAGCGGGGGUAAUAGAGGGGGGGCAAGGGUUGAUCGGAUUUGCUGGGCGUAAGGCGUGAGUAGGUGGCGCGCUAAGUGGAGUGGGAAAGCCCUGUGCUCAACCUGGGAGGUGCAGUCGAUACUGGAGAGCUAGAGUUCGGUAGAGGGUGACGGAAUUCCCGGUGUAGCGGUGAAAUGCGUAGAUAUCGGGAGGAACAUCGAUGGCGAAGGCAAUCACCUGGGCCUGAACUGACACUGAGACACGAAAGCGUGGGUAGCAAACAGGAUUAGAUACCCGGGUAGUC
rnacentral:rRNA from 1 species